rnacentral:misc_RNA from 1 species
GGGAGUGUGAGGGCGGGUUUUGGUUUAAAGGUAUUUUUAGUAUUAGAUUUUUAUUUUAGGGCUUUAUUUUUCUUCGCUAAGACCUUAUUUAGUAGUAAAUUUGGUAACUUCAAAGAGAAGGAUGAAAUUGUUAAAUGGUUUCAAACAUUAGGGAUGAUAUUGUGAUAAAUUGAAACAUGGGCUGAGUUGUGCAUUUGACCAAAGUUUAGGCGUAUUUUAGUAAAUUACCCUUUUCUUUGGUCAAAGUAGCAAAAAUAAAGUACUUUUUAUUUUAAUUUUUCAUUAUAUUUCACUAUUGGAGGAUGAGAAUUACAGAUGUUGCCUCCAAUGGCUGAAUUGAUAACUAUAAUUGGUAUGUUAUAGGG